ensembl:lncRNA
GCCCUGCUGCCCUGUAGUCCUGCUGGGGUGCCAUACCUGUUGCCCUGACGCCCUGCAAGAUCUGCAGCCCUGCCUCCCUGCUGCCCUGUAGCAUUGCUGCCCUGCUGCCCUGCUGCUCUUCUGCCCUGCAACCCUGCCUACCUACUGCCUUGCAUCCCUGCCGCACUGUGAGGCUUGUAGCAUUGCCGCCCUACACCCUGAACCCUGCAGCCCUGGGAGGCCUGUAGCCCUGCAGCCCUGCUGCUCUUCAGCCCUUCUGCCCUGCUGUCCUGCAUCCCUGAUGCCCUGUUGCCAUGCAGCCCUCCGAGGCCUGCCACCCUUCCACCCUGCUGCCCUACCUCCCUGCAGCCCUGCCGCCCUGGUAGGCCUACAGCCAUGCCGCCCUGCUGCCUGGCCACUCAGUGACCCUGAGAGGCCUGCAGCCCUGCCGCAAUGCUUCCCUGCUGCCUUGCCACCCUGCUACCCUGCAGCCCUUCCAGCAUGCUUCUCUGCAGCCCUACUGCCCUGCUGCCCUGCAGCCCUGCUGCCCUGCAAGGCCUGCAGCCCGGUCACCAGUGUCACCCACCCGGCCUUUAAGGUUUCUGAGCAGACACUGGACCCUGACCUGACUGGACGCUGCCUCCUCCGGCUCCCUCUCACUUACAGAUCUGUCAAUCCUGGUGAACACUUAAGUUUUAUUUUAUGAAUGAUUACUCAGAGCCUCUGUACCUUCAGGUUAACAACACCAUCGGUUGCAAAAAUAUAAGGUAAUUCUUCCAUAUUACUUUUCCUAGUUAAGAUUAAUGAAUACAUCAAUCACCUUUAGCUGUGAUUCCUUCCUUCCUUCCUUCCUUCCUUUCUUUCUUUCUUUCUUUCUUUCUUUCUCUUUCUUUCUUUCUUUCUUUCUUUCUUUCUUUCUUCUUUUUUCUUUCUGUGGGAGAGGGUGGGGAUGGGCAGAAGGAGGGGGAAAGAGAGAGAACCUCAAGCAGACUCCAUGCCCAGCACAGAGCUCCACAUGGGACUCAAUCUCAUGAACCUGAGAUUAUAACCUGAGCCAAAAUCAAGAGUCCAAAGCUUAACUGACUAAGCCACCCAGGUGCCCCUGGCUGUGACAUUUUUAAAUGAAGAUAGUUAAAUAUGAUGAGAUGGGGGUUUGGGGGUCACUGCUGUUCAUCAUGAUUCAUUUUUGCAAAUACUCCAGUGUUUCCAUUGGUCAGAUGCCAAUAAUAUGGUGUGGAGACUCAGGAACAGAGUGUGGGGUCUGUCUAUGAGCUUCAAGGAUCCUCAGCUUCCCUAGAGAAAACUGCCUGUUAAACUGAGAAUGGCUAGCAUUUGAACUUGAAAGCUCACAUAAGUGUUCUCUCAACCAUCAACCAUAAGCACAUCCAUUUUCAGCAGCUUCUCUUAUCCUCUGAAGGAAUUUCUGUCUUUCCCCUGUUCCUGCUCUUGAUUGCCAGCACCUGCUUUCCAUUAAUUUCCAAGCAGUGGCACAUAAGUCUAUAGGAAAAUGACAGUUAAGCUUUCUUAAUGAGAGAAUUGUUGACCAACACUUGCACACUGACUCACCUCAUAAUUUUUUGCUUCAAAUUGUUUUUAUUCUGACUUUCAAGGCACUUAAGAGUUAGUUCCUGUGCUGAUAUACACAAAUUUAGCAUCUUAACAUAACUGCAGUUAUAAAUAAUAUUUUCCAACAAUAUUUCAUGUUGUAUACCAAUUAUACAUGUCUGAAAUUGCUGUUGGUCACUCUUUUCAUAUUGUGAUAGGAAAGGUUUAUCUAACUGUUUUAUAUUGCUUUUCUACUUCUAUUACUCUUUGAACUGAUCAUUCUUUGUUAGUCUGUUUCACCAUAGCUGUAUUAUUACUCCUUAAAAUACAUAUGAUGUAUCUCUGCAAGGGCCUCACAUUAGGUAAUUAUUGCUUGAUAUUUUUGAUUUUCCUAAAUCACAUGGCCCUGCUCAAAUUUUCUUUUAAAUAAAUUGAAGAAAAAUGGUCA